AGUGAACGCUGGCGGUAGGCCUAACACAUGCGAGUCGAACGGCAGCACAGUAAGAGCUUGCUCUUACGGGUGGCGAGUGGCGGACGGGUGGGGAAUACAUCGGAAUCUACUUUUUCGUGGGGGAUAACGUAGGGAAACUUACGCUAAUACCGCAUACGACCUACGGGUGAAAGCAGGGGAUCUUCGGACCUUGCGCGAUUGAAUGAGCCGAUGUCGGAUUAGCUAGUUGGCGGGGUAAAGGCCCACCAAGGCGACGAUCCGUAGCUGGUCUGAGAGGAUGAUCAGCCACACUGGAACUGAGACACGGUCCAGACUCCUACGGGAGGCAGCAGUGGGGAAUAUUGGACAAUGGGCGCAAGCCUGAUCCAGCCAUACCGCGUGGGUGAAGAAGGCCUUCGGGUUGUAAAGCCCUUUUGUUUGGAAAGAAAAGCAGCAGGUUAAUACCCCGCUGUUCUGACGGUACCCAAAGAAUAAGCACCGGCUAACUUCGUG
rnacentral:rRNA from 1 species